rnacentral:lncRNA from 1 species
GCACUUCUGACAUUACUGAUUUUUAAUGUUACAGCAAACCUUUCCCAACUCUCCAGCCAGAGGUUUGCAAUCUAAAACCUGCAAUGGGCUAGGAAAUCACAAUAAAAUUCUGAAGGAAUCCCACAUGUGUUUGCAGGAUGAGCCUUGAAUCAACCAACUACUGUUGCAUAACCACAAAACUCUGAGACCUAGACACUUAUUUUACUACCAUGUCUAUGAGUCAACUGGAGACCAGCUGCUCUAGGCUGGGCUGGACUGGACUCCUCCAAGCCACAGCUGGGUCUGAGUCUGCUCCAUGGUUCUCCAUCUUCCUCAGACUUGUGGGCCUACCAGGGUAGAGCCUUCUCAUGCCAAAAGCAGAGAAGCACAUCUCACUGCUGCUUGUAGUGGGUCUGCUUCCAUUCCCUUGACUGAAGGAAGUCACAUGGCCAAGACAAAAGCUAGGCAGUACAGUCCUCCAGGAGGGAGUAAAUAUUUCUGAAUAUGUUCUUAUUUACCCCAAGUCCCUAUGCAGAUGCAUUGAGAGAUCUCUAAGCCAUACACAGGCUUUAACUUAAGAAGCUAUGGCAUGAAAAAACAAAUAAUUGCCUCUUAAAAUUCUAAUCUCCUCUGAAUGUAGCUUAGUCUUUAUGCAAAAAUAAACACACACACUAGAGUCACUUCAAAACCACUGGGCUAAUAAUGUUCAUGAUUCUGUUAAUGACCAAACUGGAGCACAGUGCAGCUGGUCCUGCUGGUCACAGGAAGGCCCCAGAAAGAAAUGAAGCCAUCAAGAAGCCAUUGAUGCUGUGACCUUCUGUUGCAGGCGCUGGCUCACCGCCAUGCUGUCUCUGAGAAGACUCCAUCUCUCGGAGAACAAUCUGCCUUGUUCACGGCAUGAUGCAUGAAGAAAAGCAGCUGGGCAGGAGAGGGACAGAAAAAUCUCCCAUCUUCCUGCAUAGCUGAGGCUUUCCCUACUCCUAGGGAGAAGGCACUGAAGUGAAUCCCAUGAACAUUCUCAACUGUUUCCAAAAUGUUGCCAAUAUUCUUCUGUGUAUUGAUAUUUUGAAAUCCCCAAUGUAGUGGUAUGUUCUAUUUUAGCCCAGACUUCAAAUUGUAUAUGUUUCAUUCU